AGUUCGUACUGUGAAGCAUCCUGUUAAGUCAGGCAACGAGCGAGACCCACGCCCACAGUUGCCAGCGUACUCUCUGGAGUGGACGGGUACACUGGUGGGACCGCCGCUGCUAAAGCGGAGGAAGGAAUGGGCAACGGUAGGUCAGUAUGCCCCGAAUAUCCCGGGCUACACGCGAGCUACAAUGGUUGGUACAAUGGGUAUCCUACCCGAAGGGACGGGAAUCUCCUAAAACCAAUCUUAGUUCGGAUUGAGGGCUGCAACUCGCCCUCAUGAAGCUGGAAUCCGUAGUAAUCGCGUUUCAACAGAACGCGGUGAAUACGUCCCUGCUCCUU
rnacentral:rRNA from 1 species